CCCAGAGCUCAGGGAGGCCACUGCCCCAGCACCCAGCGCCCUCAGCCUGGCAGCUGCCUGUGCAGAUGGCUUGCCUGCUGUAGGUGGUUCCCUGGAGGGUCGCCCGGUGAACUGGACUCCUGGUCAUCCUGAGAGUCAGACACUUCAGCCGGAAAGGAGUCCUGGGUCUCCAACAGAGCCAUGCGAACAUGACGGAACAUGACGGCCGAGCAAGUGGGGCCGGCAGAUGGGGGUGCCUGGUGGGGGCCUGAUUGGAGCCCUGCCACACCUCCAAGAGCAGCUGCAAAGCCAUUAGAUGAGUGGAUAAAGAAGAUGUGGACAAAGAAUGGAUAAAGAAGAUAUAUGCAAUGGACACAACUCAGCCAUUGAAUGAAAUCUUGCCAUUUGUGACAAGAUGGAUGGACCUAGAGGGUAUUACGCUAAACAAGCUGGACAGAGAAAGACAAAUACCAUAGUACUUCACAUAUAUGUGGUACAUAAAAACAAAUCAACAAAACUCAUGAAUACAGAGAACAGACAGGUGGGCA